UGGGGGGGCAGUUGAUUUGCGUGCCAGUGACAAUUGUAUUCUCAGCCAGUCCCACAGCAGCCAGCAGCCCUGGAGCUGGGAAGGCCCUGCAGAGCUGUAAGGGGCCUGGUUUAUACCCCAGCACCCAGCAGUCAUUCUAGGUGGGAUUCCGGGCUCCCUUAUGUAGCCUCAGGCAAGAUGUCUCUCCUCAGCUGAAGGCAAGCAGGCCUCAGGGAAGGACCAGCUGACUGCUGCUCGCCAUCAGCACUCCCCACAGCUGGGGAAAGAGGAUCUCAGUCCUGGAGGGGAUCUGGCAGCACGCCAAAGCAUCCAUUGCAGCCCUCGUCCGUGGCGUCUAAAUGAUGCAGGCGCAUGAGAUCGCACACAUUGAUCCGUUUCCUUCACGCAAGUCUGCUAAUGGCCGAUCUCCUCUUGAAGUGGUCAAAUUCUAAGACUAGACAUGAAAAGAAAAGUAUGAGGUAUCACAGUUACCCUCUCAAAUCCUAGUGAGAUGCUCCUGCCCAGAGAGGCCACGGGAAUGGAAACCAACUGAAGGAACAGUGAGUUCAUGUCUUUCAUCUCAAGAGCACCUGGGCUUAUAUUUACUAAGAGUUGCGCAUGGCAGAAUCUCCCGCACUAUUUGGCUGAUUUCUCUCUCUGUUUCUGUGGAACGUUACAGAGUUUGUAUAUUUUAAGUGUCUGUAUGAUGUGACCCCAACACAGUACCAACGGCUCCUUUAACGUCAUCCUGCCCCGGGCAUUCCUUUGUUGUUGUAGAAUACUAAUCUUUGCGUGCUCUGCUCUUGAGGAGCCAGGAAGAGCUGCGUGUUCGAGGGGGAGAUGGACACACGAUAAACAUGGAGCACGACAAAUAACGAUAAACACGGAGCAGUGGAGACCAGGUCCACCGAUCCCCAGACUGAGCCGGAUGCUAAGGUCACGUUAGGCAUGGUGAAUUGGCUCCCCCCCAGCGGCCUGUCAUCCCCCCGCACCCUGCGGAAGAGCUGCAGAACAUACCCAGUAGCUACCCACCCGAGGAGGAGGAGAGCCACGUGGAGCAGGCCUGGGCUCAACCUGCAUCCUGAACCAAGCCCAGCUGCAUUCCGGCUGACCUGCAGACAUGUGAACAAGAAAUCAGUGCUUACCGUUGGAUGCCCCUGAGUUUUGGAAGAGGAGCACACAGAUUCUCCUUUUCUGAAGCUAACUCAUAAAUGGAAGGAGUGAGUAGUAAAUAUCAUGAAACUGAUGGAUAUCCAGGGAGCCCAAGAGAGCGAGAGGGAGGCUGCUGGGAAAGCCAGAGCAGGACGUGAGUGAACCCGUCAAACUGUGAGCUCCUCACCCUUCUGCAGCAACGGGAGCAGGAUGAGCACCCUGAUGGAGGAAGGUUAGGCUCCAGAUCCCUGGAAAGGCUGGGCAGGCGUUUCAUUUGGGGAGGCUGGUAUGUCAUAGUGGGUGGAAAUUCUAUAAAGUCAAUGAGUGCUGAGUUCUGGGCUGUGCUCCCAACUGUUGGGGCUGAUGAAAUUUAGGGUGGACUGACAUCUACAGAAGGGCCUGAGGUCAGGACACGUGGGUCCUUUUGUCCUGCCUUUGCCAUAGAUCCUCUGUGUGAUCUAGAAGUCAGAUCUCUUUUUUAGUCCUCAGUUUGUCCUGUAAAACGAACAUCUUGGCUUAGGUCUUAAAAAUGACAGCCGACAUUUAUCAAGUGCUUACUUUGUCUGUUCUAAGCACAACUUAAAACCCUUUAUACAUAUUAACUCAUUUAAUUCCCUUAACAAGCCAUUUUCCUUUGCAGAUAACGAAACCGACGCAUAAAAGGUAAGUAAUUGCCCAGCGUCAGUUGUAGAGUUGGGAACUGACCCCUGGCUGUCGGGCUCCAGACACUGCAAUGCCAACCCUUCCACCAUGUUGCCUUCCAAAUGGGAUUCCACGUCUG
rnacentral:lncRNA from 1 species